GCCUGGGUGGCUCAGUCGGUUAAGCGUCUGACUUCAGCUCAGGUCAUGGUCUCGUGGUUUGUGGGUUGGAGCCCCGCACUGGGCU
rnacentral:tRNA from 1 species